UGCAACUCGACUACAUGAAGCUGGAAUCGCUAGUAAUCGCGGAUCAGAAUGCCGCGGUGAAUACGUUCCCGGGUCUUGUACACACCGCCCGUCACACCAUGGGAGUCGGAAAUGCCCGAAGUCUGUGACCCAACCGAAAGGAGGGAGCAGCCGAAGGCAGGUCGGAUGACUGGGGUGAAGUCGUAACAAGGUAAC
rnacentral:rRNA from 1 species